CUGGACCCUGGCGCCCCUCCCACAGGCGGCGGGACUCCGUGUGGCCGGCCCCGGGGAGCUCAGGGAUAGGGAGCGAAAGGGGGCCGGGAUGCCAAGCCCAGCGUCCAGAACGCGAGGCUCCCACAGCCCUCCUGCCAGCUCCCUUUGCUCUCACAACCCUAAGCUCCGCUCCAGGGGACGGAGACCCCACCCCCCGGAUGAAGCGCUGUGGGAACGGCGCCACGAUCCCAUACCAGGGAGGAGGAGCUCAACCGGGGCGUGACCCCGGGAGGCAAGGGGUAGUGGCAGGUUUGAGGUCUAAGGGUGACAGGCUGCCAGGACCCUAGAAAAGGUGCCGGUUCCGGCGGACCCUCGGACUCCCCAGGACACGGACGCCGGGGUCCCGGGAGGCUCACGCUGUCCAAGCCUGUGGCGGGGGUGCCCGCAGGGACUCGGACGCAAGGAUCCCCGGAGCCCCUAGACAUGACCGGGCACAGAAAAGACUCCACAAAGGUGCAACGAAUGAAUGAAUGAACAGGAAUGAAUGAAUGAAGAGGAAGAGGGGUACUUCCUCUUGCACUGUCACCGGAAGAGCACCCUAGCUCAUUAAAAGUCAGAAAAUGCAGGGCACAGGACAGCAAAGUGGCCAUGGUGUAUUUACCGAAAAAUUAUCGGCCAUCAUAAUGCUGAGCUCGUGGGCUGACUCACUCCUCAGCAGGAUCCGGGUUCCUCUGAAGUGGCAUCAGCCUGCCAGAGCCUCCACACGGGCUCCCCGAAGGGCUAGGGCGUGGCUGUAAAAUCCCUGCGCUCCCCAGUCAGAAAGGAGCCCAUCAGAGCCAAAGGAGCCAAGUCCAGAUCCCCCAGCUCAGAAACACCUGGCUGUGCCUGAGGAGUGUAUUGAAAGAGGCAGGUGUCGGGGCACCAUUCACUCAGCCAGUACUACCUCAAGUCCCUGUGCCCUCGGUUUCUUAUCAGUCGGAACACACACGUACCAUACGGCCAUCCCACCCCGAGGUAUUUACCCAAGACAAUGAGGCCACACGCAUGCACAGGCUUAUACACAAAUGCUCCUAGCCGCUCCAUUCACAGUAGCCAAAACCUGAGAAUUAUCAAAAUGUCCAUCAGCAGGAGAAGGGAGAAACAGAUUGCGAUUUACCUCCACGGUGGAGUACAAGUUGGCGAUGAAAAGGAACAAACUACUGAUUCAGGCACCAGCUUGGAGGGGGAAGCUCA